GGAGGGUAUAGCUCAGUGGUAGAGCACAUGCUUAGCAUGCAUGAGGUCCUGGGUUCAAUCCCCAGUGCUUCCA
rnacentral:tRNA from 1 species